rnacentral:rRNA from 1 species
AUUGAACGCUGGCGGCAGGCCUAACACAUGCAAGUCGAGCGAGAGGCGGACGGGUGAGUAAUGUAUGGGGAUGUGCCCGAGAGAUGGGGAUAAGUACUGGAAGCUGUGGCUAAUACCGCAUACUAUCGGAUGAACCCGAAUGGGAUUAGCGAGUAGGUGGGGUCAAGGCUCACAUAGGCGACGAUCUGUAGCUGGUCUGAGAGGAUGAUCAGCCACACGGGGACUGAGACACGGUCCAGACUCCUACGGGAGGCAGCAGUGGGGAAUAUUGCACAAUGGGCGAAAGCCUGAUGCAGCCAUGCCGCGUGUAUGAAGAAGGCCUUCGGGUUGUAAAGUACUUUCAGCGGGGAGGCGUUACCAGCAGAAGAAGCACCGGCUAACUCCGUGCCAGCAGCCGCGGUAAUUC